UCCAAGUAUUCUUUAAAAUAAAAAAAGGAAGAUAAAACUGGUGAAGAGCCAUGUAACAGCAAAGCCAGAGCGGCCUUCAAAACUAGAAUGCUUUCAGGUUAAAAUCUUUAACUAACCAAAAAAUACAUGGAAACAGAAGAACAGAGGGUGAGAAUGCAGAAACACGUGCAUUAUGUGGAGAGGCUGGGGCUGCCAUGGACCAGACCCAGCCGGUCCCACCACAGGCCGGGCUCAGGCCCUCACGGGCCCCUCACGGGGCCAAGAUGGCAGCACUCGGGUAGAACGAAACAGAAGAGGGUAAAAGCGCUGUGCAGGUUGUGUCCACAUGCACGGGGCAGGGGUCUGUGAGACUGGAACAGAGAGAGGCAAUGCACUUGUGAGGGGAUGCCAAGGAAGAGGCCAGGGGAACUCCUCCCAUCCCUAGGGAGCAUGAACUGUGCAGAAUGGAGAGAAGCAGAAGAAGGAUGUCUCAUUUUGUCAAGAGCUGCAUUCAGUCACUCGAAAAGGAAUAUAAUAUAUAAAAUCACUUAAUAAAUCUUCAGCUCAAGAGCUGCUAAUCAACGGUUCUUUCAGUGUCUACAAACUCAGAUGAUCUCCUAAUGCCCAGCCCUUCUUUCCGAUUACCUGCAAAGAGAUGUGAGCUUUUUUGGUGACCCCAAACUUAGGUGGGAAUUUGAGACAGUCCCCUAGACUGGAAAUCAACAGCAGCAAUUGUAUACAAAGUUUGGGACUCUUGGAUAAAACAUCAGGGCCCUGGGGAAUAUUCCUCCAUUAAAAUCAGUGUUUGAUUCCAAAAUUUGAUAUCUCCAAGAUGGUAAGAGAGAUUUAAAGAAAACAAGACCAUCACUCAAAGUGUGACAGAGGCUAUUACAACAUCAUCUCCAAUAGGCAUUAACAGUGAGUUUUAAACACUGAGUUGUGGGGUUGAUGCAGCUCCAGGAAAGUGCUAUGCUAAACUUUGGAGAAGAUGUGCUAAAUUUGGAAUGUUGUCCAAAAAGAAAACCAAUUAUAUUCACCAAAAGUCCAUCUAAUGUUUUACAAUGACCCUAAAACAGGCAGGUUUAACGAGGGAUGGCAAGUAGCCACUGUCUUGACUCGAAGGUCAUCCGUCAAAUACAAACAGUGAUAAAGUACUGAGAAGCCACACAGUGUUCAACAAGCAGCACGAGGCUGAAGGGAACUUGAAGUGUGGCUGAGGGAAAACUUCCUGCCUAAUACAGAAGGAGCUCCCAGCUGGUUUUGUGCUUCUCUGCUACCAAGGACAUGAUCAAGAUGGUAGCCAAUUCUGUGUUGUAGAAGACACCCAAUGUAGGGCCAAAAAUUCUCCUGCACUUUUUAGUAUAUUUAUAUCUCUGCAACAACCAGCUUUAACUUGCUCUUAGGGUAUCAGCAUUAUCACCUAUAUUUGAAAUACGUCACCCAAACUAUACUCCAGGUCACUCAGAGUAGGACAGAUUUCCACUGCCACUCAGUCUGUCCUAUGGUCAGACACUGAUCCAUGACUGUUGCUCUGGCUCAUAUAUGUCCUGUUCAGGUGUUUCUGUUCAGAUCUUGGUGCUGUAGACCCUUGCUUAAAGCAACAUCAACCACAGCAACAAACAGAUGUUCUUACACCCUUGCUUCAUCUGCUUCCCACGUGAACACCACUCAGCAAAUCCAGGCAGAGAGCUGUUCCAGAUCACAAAUAUUGAACCAGCUUGCUCUCAGACACAUCCAUUUAGCAAUGCUAAAUGCUGCAGAGAAGAAAGAGGCACAGAACCCACCCUUGCUGUUCAAAUGCUACAGAGCUGCACAUCAAGGCUGUAGGACCAGCUGAAUCUUCCCAGUGCUGCCAGUGCUACUGACAGCAGCACAGCAGCUCAGCACAGUCACUGCAUACAAAUUCCUGACUUCUUUAUUGUGAAGCACCAUUCAAAGCUUCUCUGUAGACAAGAUGAUCAAGAAAUGUCCUUGCAGUGUCCAAGCAGCUACCAAAAUAUCUUGACAGCACUCUUUUGAGGUAAAAGCAGCAUCACUUGCAGAUGAGAGACAGGGACAUUAACAAACUAUUUCUACAUAGGCUACAUUUAAGAGCCUAUCUUAAGACUUCAAGAAUGGCAGUUUCAAGAAUGCACAGCUUUAUAAAGCACUACUACCACAGUUUGCAAUAGGCACUACCAGAGACUGGCCAUACUGGAUGUGUGCAGCACAGACUUGUUACUUUCACACAAACCCAUCAAGACUCAGCAGUUCUCCCAGUCAGAGCUGGGCUCUGCUGUGUGCUGAACAGAGAAAUUAAAAACCAACCUUUUCUAAAAAUUAUAGCUGAAAAGACCUGGCAGCAUCUCAUAAUAAUUCUGUCUGUGGAGACAGAAAUAGGAUCCAGCUCUCCAGAAAAAGAUUGAGCUGAUCUGAGCAUGACCAGAUUUCUCCUGCAGGUCCAUUCCCCACUCCAGACACUAUGUUGAGAUUGUCUCAUUGUACUUGAAUGCCAAGGUACUGCGUAAAGUUGCCCAGAUGGUCUUAUGCCCAUUCAAAUGGACCUUAUUCAUAUUCUCCAAAGAGAGUGCCUUGUGGCUUGUUUUUUUUAAAUUAUUUUAAAAGACUGAAUUCAAAGAAGAGCAAUUCCUAGUGUGCUGAUGAUGUGCUGCCUCCUUCAUGGUUCAAGAGCAGUAUUGGAACAUGUCUGGCUCACAUGAGGUAAGAGAUUGGCAACCACAGCUGUUGGAGGCUGUCAUCCUUUUGGUAACUCAUACCUGCAGAGGAACAAAACAUAUGUUUUAAGCAAAUGGAUAUGAAACUUGUUGGCCAGGAGCAGUGAGACUACUGAACCUCUGGCUACAACCCAGUGGAUCGUGGCUCUAAAUUAUUCUGUCUAGUCAUCUUUGCCCAUUGUUCCUUGAUGCCCAGCUUUUCUUCCUUGUUGCUAUUGCCUCUCAGAUUUUCCUUUGAUUUUAUGCCCUGUCACUGGUUCCCUUUCACAGUUCUUGAUCCAUUCACUUAACUCCCUCACUUCUGCUGCCUCUGCCCUUGUGGCAGUGAUUAUAUGAACUGCUCCAGCCUUGUAUCAAGGUGCUAACUCACAGAAAUUCACAGGGCUUUGGUUUCACCAUGCUGGAGUCUCUUCUGGAAAUCAGGCAAGGACUUCUAAAUCACGUGAACGGUUUGGCCAGUUUUACCUCUCACGUCCACUGAAAAAUGUGAGUCUUUCAGUAUUUCAGGCAGAUGUUAGUGGAUGAUUCAGGGAGCAGAUACACAUGGUUGCCAGCCACUGAGUUGAAGAAGCCCCAGAGAGAAUCAAGAGAUUAUAAAGUUGACCAAAACUGAGAGUUAAUCCAAAGCUUGUAACUUGCUCUCAGCUCCCCUGGGAACACACAACACACACUGAGCAAUGGAUUCCAAAAUAUUAAGAAAUAAGCUAGCAUGUAAGAAAAAUAAGGAUCUCCUGUUGAAUUAAAAAGUUAGGUCAUUAAUGCUUGUUCAUAUUACAUUACUCACACUUGAGAGACAAAUAACUAUCUGUUGCCUCACUAACCCACAUAUUUAUUUGAACAAAUAUUUCCCAAGAAGUAGGGAGAGAGAACCAUUUCAACAGAAAAGUUCUAUAUUAUGGUCUUAUCAUAACAAGCCACUUCACAGUACGCUGAUGUGUACCGUAUACAAGCAUCCAUUGUGAAAAGCUAUUAAGUGUAUCUCAUUUUACAGUGCUGACAUGUUGGUUCCUUCACAGAGGUCAUUAGCUCACAAUGGGGCCUCUCAUUUCCCUAUGCCUUUCUAAGGUUUGGCUAUAUUUCAGAAGGAAACCUUAGUAUGAGCAUUAUUAACCCAGAGGGACAUGAUCGGUGCCAUAUAAAGUCAAUUUAUAUAGAAAUCCUGCAAUUAUUCAGAAUAAAUUUUAUUUAUUUACAUAUAUAGAAGGAAAUCUACAGUUUCUGAAUGGAAAGGACAUAGUACAUGAUUAGGUCAAUUUCAUAUGCUUAAGAUGUUUAACAGAGUAGCCUUCCAAAAAGGAAAAAAUACCCAAUCCUAAACAAAACUACCUAUUUUCCUCUAGGCUGAAAAUGCUGCUCAGUCACCUGUUCCCAGGCCAGCCUGUAAACAGUGCUGGACAUGAGCAAUGUGUGGAGGUGAAUUGCUGCCUGUAUUUUGAUCAAACAGAUCUCUGAUUGCUGCUGGAGCACCAGCAUGACCUCCAGUCCAGAAAGCAGAGACAUGCCAGGCACUGGUGCUGCUCCCUGUCCCCAGGCACUCCAGCACCCCAGAGCUGUGCCCAGGGCAGAACACUGCAUCCAUCUGGGCUGUAGAAAACACUAGAGACAGUCAAAACUUCUGUAAAAGCAAAACAACACAUCUGGGGAGUAGGCAGAGGCAAAUGAGCAGAGUGCCCCCACCUGCACACUGCAUACGCAGCUUUCACCACCUCUGUAAGGGCCUCAAGGCCACGAGGAACCAUUUGGUGGCAGGUACUGAUGGCCUAUGCACAAACAUACCUCCAUCUUCUGGUUCAGCUCGUCAUCUCAAUGAGGUUUGAAAUCAUGUCUGAGCUGGGGAUUUGUGAAACAACAGUAGAAGAAAAGAAGAUUGAGUGAAGGAAGAUGGGAGACAGAAGAGCAGGGGGAUGGAGCUGGGGAGAAGAGGAGCUUGAGAGCUGAUGAGAUGUGAGGUGGCCUUGACUGUGCAGUGUAUUCAGCCCAUGAGAGGUACACAGUGGCUCACCUUCCAGCCCAUCCCCUCCUCUGCCUGGCAAGGUGCUGGUACAGCACCUGCUGCCACACGAAAUGUCCAAAACAGCUCAUUUGUGUGGUUGAUGAACAUUUCAGUCACAAUACCGAAGAUGGGCUGGAGAAAAGUCCUGGCACUUGUGACUGCAGCUCGGGGGCCUGCAAAUGCUUUUUUGCCCCCUGGAAGGGCAGAGAGGUAAUUAGUAUGUAGAGGACUUGAGCAGUAAUUUGAAGGAAGAGGGAGACACUGCCUUCGCAGAGAUGAAUUCUGCAGAUACAAAAAGAAAGAAAAAAAUUCUGAAUUAUACUAGGAUCCAAAAAGCUGGGAUGAUCAUGUCCCUCCAAUGAAUGUGAAAGGCCUGAGAAUAUUAAGUAUUACACAUACCACCUGGACCUUCUUUUAACAGUAAUAGCAUUGUGGAUUGGAUGCCUUAUACUAAUUCAUCUUUACAUUAAAUAUCAGGUACCAAAAAACACUCUAGGAUUUACAGCUUCCCUCUUUUCUGUAGCACAGAAGAACUGCCAGGAGUUGCUUCAGGAACCCAGCACACGGAGAAAGAUCACCUCAGCCUGAAAAUCUGCCCAGACUGAAUCCUCCCAUCAUCCUUGGGUGAAACCUCCAUCAUAUUCAAGUACAAGAAAGGCAGACGAAUGAGAAAAACUGGCACUCAAACUGAAGAAGCUGGAAGGGGCUUUCAAUGGCAUUGUAAUAUCUGCUUUAAAUGGUGGCACCGAUUACCCAAAAUCAUCUCAGACUCUAGGGAAAGGUACAAGUCAUUGCCUCAACUCACAGCCACAACCAGAAACACAUACUGAUAAAAAUACAGCUCAAAGGCCAAUUCCCAGCUGUGUUUCUGUGCAGCCCAAGUAUACAUUACAUACAUUACAUACAUUAUUGCAGAACAGGUAAAUCAGGUUCAAAGUAUUUUUGAUUUUUGUAAAACAGUUGUAAAUUACAUAUUUAGAAGCUUUCUCUAUUCCUGAUAGCACAAAUCACUAAAGGGAAAUGAAAAGUGAACCUCCAAGCUGUUUGUUUCUGUUGGAUGACAGAUACUCAGUCAUGAUAUGCUGCUCAACUCUGAAAAAGAAAUGGGGCUCUUGCUAGGUUCUCAGUUAAGGAAUACAGCACUCAAGGACAAUGGUCAAAAAUUAAGCAGCUGUUGUACAUUAUAUACAUUACCACUUUCUUGUUUUCAUUUCACAAAUGAUUUUAACUCCAAUUACAUUUUAAAACUUUUUUUGCAAGAAGAGUACUGUUAUCAGCUGCCCUCUCCACAUUGUUUUACUCUGAGAUUUUCAUAUCCCUUCCUCAUAGCAGUAGUCAACAACCAAUUCCUUGAAGUCCUUUUUUAGUUCUUCUACAGUGUAAUUGUAUUUCUCUUCUAUGAAGAGAAGAGAAAUUUUUGAAGCUUUUGUUCUCUCUCCUCCUUUGUGUCUUAAUCCUGCUUAAUCCUUACGUGCUGAGUGUUUCAGAGAGCACCUGGAAGAUUUUCAGUUCUAUAAAAAAUAUAUCUCUGUAAAAAUCUGACUCUCAAAAUAAAAGCAACAGAAAGUGUUCAGUAUUUUGAAAUUAGUCAACUACUCAGUAACACACAAGAAUUCCAACAUUAUAAAAUGACAUUUGAGAUGGAAAAGCAUUUUUAUACAUACUGCUCCAAACACAAGCAAGAUGCUUGCACAGACUCUGGAAUUGUAAAAUGUCCACAAGGGACAAGGAAUGUCUGUGUUCGGUUCUCAGGGAGGAGAAAUAAGUUGUAGCAGCCUGCUGGCCACAGAGCUGGGAAGAGACCAUGAAAAGCCAUGACAAGACUCAAAUCCCCAAGUGCAGGGUAUCAACCUGCUCCUAAGCAGCUUAAACCCUCUGCUUUAGUGAAUGUCUUUGAGUGAUUUGUCUUUCUGGAAGCCUGGACAUCCCUCUGACAUCUAUUACGUCUAUGAACUGGAAGAAGACUUGAAGGCAAAGAAAUAGUAGAGGAGAACAUGUGAUGACAGCAGCAGCUCUGUGAUACCUAAAAGCAGCAGCAGCUGCCUUAGGAGGGAGCCCUCGUGUCAGCCUGAGCACCUUAUGGACAGCAGAGCUUAUUGAUACAGAGAUCUACAGGCUCACCCAAGGACUCCACGAAGGUGCAUCCUGCUGUCCCUCCCUCCACAGCACUGGGACACUCCUGAAACUCCUGCUUACUGGGACACCUAAGGGCAGGAGCUAUGUCCUCAUUGGAUGCUUCAGCAUGCCUACAAAUUUAAGAGAUGCAGUAUUUACUUUGUGAACAUUUUAUUCUGUAAUACUACUGAGAGAUAAAGAAAAAAACCCAUGAAAAGUCUGCAUUAGAAACACAUACAGGUAUUUUAGCAUUACAUAUUUGCCCUACACUUAUGUGUAUUCUAAUGUUUAUAUUGAACAAAAUAAAGGAAUUAAUGUUA